UAAUUUCUAAUAUCCUUGUUCUGUUAUUUGGGACCAUAAAACAACAUGGUCAUUCGCAUCUUGCCAUUUUGUGCCUUUUUUUUCCUUGUCUCCUUUCAAGUGUGUAAGUGUCAAACUUUUUCUCUUUUUUUAUGUCAACUAGAUAUGUUAUAUAGUUUCUUGAUUUAUUUCCAUGGUUUCUCUGCAUUAUGUACUCGAUUUUCUAGUGUUGUGUUGAAAGUACAACACUAUAUUGCACAUACCUCUAUGGCAUAUAGCACUAAUGACCAAUAAUGCUAUUCUUUGUCUGUAAUAUUAAGAAAUGUUUGAAAAUUCAUUUUCAUUUGCAAUUUAUGAGCUCAUUAUACUGUGAUCUGCUUCCACUGUGUGUGUGCGCAUUUGCGGAAUUGUCUCAAUUUUUUCUCACAUGAAUCAACAUGGUUUUCCAUGAUGAAGACUAGUUGAUUCAUAGUUUCAUCUUUUCAAUAUCCCACUUGUUG
rnacentral:misc_RNA from 1 species